rnacentral:sRNA from 1 species
AUAUCCCUGCUGUGCUCGUCGCUAGCGGACGCUGUGUUGAGCCAACAAAUUUUCUUUGGGAGCAAUACUUCUAACUUGCCUGCGGGUAAGCUAGAGACGCACCCACUUAAAAAAAUGGUUCUAAACCACCCAUAGCGACGGCAUGCGCGGGGAUUUU